UUAAUUAAUGUUCAAAAUUGAAUUUAGACUUAUUUUUCACAUCUGUUUGUUAAAGAAUGACUAAAAAUUAUAUUUAUGUAUCAGUAUUAUAAACUUAACUAUUAAUGAAGUGUCUGAAUUCUGUAAACAUUAUACCUGUGUGGUUUCGGUCAGUGACCAUCACUUUCUCGUGUUGGAUUUUGAGGAAUGGAAUUUAAAAUGCUCUCAAAUAAAGUACUGAAAAAAUGUGUGGAAUGAGAAUUCGAACUGGUUGUAAAAGGAACUUAUCUAGGAAGAGUAGGACCCCUAGUGUUUAUCUCUGCACAUGUCUGAGUCUGUAAAUCAUUAUAAUGGUAAACAUGGCUGUUCUUGGUUUAAUAGGAUGCAGAGGAGAUAUACAUGGAGAAUGUGAUGCGACUGAAAGAAGAACAAACCACCCAAGUACUACAAAUGGUAGUGAGUUCCAAAGCCGGGGAGCAGAGCGGCUGAAGGCUCUAUUGCCCAUAGACGAUAGACAAGCAGAGAAAACAGACAAGUGGAGCAGACUCAAGCGCAUGGAGAACAUUAGAAACUGGACACAUUUACCACAUCCACAGUAGACAUCUUCAGUCAUUUUCAUCGCUUGUAUUUAUUUUCAGAGGAAAUGCAGCUCAGCACCACCUUCAAGAUGGGCAGUUUCCAGUGGCACCACGUGGAGGAACGGACUUCGCCACCUAUAUAUACAGGGUUUGGAUUAUCACUCACCAUAAACUACAACUACAUACGAAAUCACUAGUCAAUAAAUGAUGUCCUUCAACCAUCAAUCAUAUAGCACAUUAGCAAAACAUUAAGACUAAAGAAGGCUGUAUAUGAGGACAAUAUCAAAGCAAAUACUAAAGGUAGUAACUUUAUUCCUCUUCAGAACACAAAUGAAGAUAUUUGACUGAAAAUAAUGAAGAUCUUUUAGUUAAAUCUGAGAGCUCCUUAAUCCUUCAUAGACAGCAAGAUUCCUGACUAUGAGAAAACUUUAUGUGGACAUAAAACAAAAAUAACUUUAUUCAACAAUUUCUCCCCUCAGUGUCAGUAUAGAGCACGCGUUCACGUGUUGCGCAUCUGACAUAUAACCUUGGAUGCGCCUGUGUUUUUUUAAGAGAGGAAGUCAGAGAGGAAGUCGCGCAGGCAUCCAGUGGGGUAUAUGUCACUGCACAGUGCUUGUGAACGCGUGCCCUAUCAUCACACUGAGGAAAAGAAACUGAAUAAAAAAAGUUUGUUUUAUGUGAAGGCAUAUGAUCUGUUUUGAGGAGGUUUUUGUAGACUUUGAGUCUGGAUGAGGGAGCUCUAAGAUAAAGAUAAAAAUAGUAAAAAUAGUUCUGAAGAUAAGCAUGAGAAUGAGUAAUCAAUAACAUAACUUACUUUUUAAAAAAUGUUUUGUUUAUUAUUAUUAUUAUAAUUUUGUUGUUGUUUUUAGAAGAAUUUCUGAUUGGUCAAAAACAUGGCCAGUAAUAGAUUUAUACUUCAA